rnacentral:lncRNA from 1 species
GUGCGCCAACAAUUACUUGUAGGAUUUGAAAUGCACCCAACUUCAAAAAGUUUGAGAACCACUGGUUUAAUGUAAGAACCAUUGAGUUUGAAGACAAUGGUGAGAUCUUCUUUUUAUUAUUAUUUUAAGCUCCUUUCCAAUCAAUGAGAUUAUUAACGGUUGGAGCUAUUUCCAACCACGAGUUGCACCCACAAGUUAAGUUUUUCAGGUUCCGGGUCCAGAACCCCGAAAAACUUUUUCGUGAGAUACUAGAAUCGGAUCAUCCGGCCACCAAUAGAGAGAGGUUGCUGGGUAACUGCUGCGUAAUAUACUGCCAUCGAUAUAUACUGAUAAUAUACCAUAGAAUUUGUAGACGGAAGUUGCCAUUUUAGGAAUUUACGUAUCCAAGGCACGGAUUAUUGAGAUCAAUUUUAUACCUAGUUUAGUGA